rnacentral:tRNA from 1 species
GGGGUUGUAACUCAGUGGUAGAGUGCUUGCCUAGCAUGUAUGAGGCACUGGGUUCGAUCCUCAACCCCA